UGGACAUGUAGCUCUGAGAUUUCAGGCAAGCCAAAAGGAAAACAGUGAGUUCCUGUUGCUUGAUUUAAAGCAAGCACAUCAUUCUUCUGGUGGAGAUGGAGAUGCCCACAUAGGAGGGGGUGACGCAGCAGCAGUGAGGAGGGGUAGACAGUGUGGGUAGACGGUCAUCUCUUUCAAGGAGCUUGGCUAUGAGGAAGAGCAGAGAGAGCGUGUUGAAGGCAGAUAGGAGACUUGAUUGGAAGGUGCUCCGACAUCUGCUUUUCUGAGAGUGAUGAUUGGACAGACCAUGAAGAGAGGCAGGUGCUGUAGCCAAUGGGCAGCUAGCUGGGGGAGAGGGUCUAAGGAGUGGAGCAGUUGGUGAGGAAGGAGAGGCGUCGGUUGGAACAGGAGGCCUCAGCGGGAGAGGAGAGAGCAGGUGCCAUCAGUGAGCAUUCUCUUAGUCUCGGAUUCCGUUGUCCCCUGAGAGUCUGAGGAGAUGGCUGCAGCAGCGGUGGCUGGACUGAUCCCUGUGUUGCACUCUGUGGCCGGUGACAAGUCUGGCUGCUACGUCGGGUGACAUCUGUGGUUUGGCUUCAUCGCCAUGUAUGGAAUGGUGUUGUACAUGGUCCGCAUGCCCUGGUCCUCCAUCCAUGAACAUUUCCAGUGCCAUGGCAACAUCACCUAUGCUUGUUUGACUGAGUGUUUUGAAAGAAGGUUUAGCAGUCCUGUAGUGGGAAUUUGGUACUUCUUUUUCUUUGUCUUCCUAUCCCUCUUCUUCCUCAUGGAAUUCUUCAUGGCUCAGAUUCGGCAUAAGCAGAUCAAGCUCAAGUCAGAGGAGUCGGUAGCAGGUGAGGCGGAGGAGGGCUCCAUGGUGGGAAUCCAGGAGCAAGACCGCUCUCCAAAGUCCAUCUGAACCUCCCCCAGGAGAAGAUGCUUUCCCUUUUGUACCUCCUUUACUUCCUGCUGCAGGUCGGCGCCCAGGGUGUGCUUUUAUUCCUUCUCAUGUACCAACCACUGCCAAUGGUGAGCCACACCGUCAUUCACUGCAGCCCCGAGGCCUGCCCUGCACCCUUUAUCUGCCUCAUCAGGGCAGCAUGGAGAAACGAAUGGCCCUCUACACCCUCACCACCUUGUCCUUCAUGAUCAUCCUCUUCUGCUUGGGUUUCUUCAUGUACAGCAUUCAUCACUACCUGUUAAAGGGGCUUUCAAGUGCGAGGUUUUGGCUUGACUGACGUUUGGAAGUUCUUACUUAGAGUCUUCCUCCCUUGCACUGGGAAGUUAGUGUCUGGGGCAGGGCUUCCUCCUGCUAACCCUCUUUGCUUUCCUUUCAUAUAAUAAACAUUUAUUGUUCUUGUUUUCUCUCUCUACAGCCAGGAUAACAUUGUCUAACUGUGGGGUGGGUGGUACGCACUUGAUAAUAUUUCAGAGUUCUCUCACACGUGCUGUCUAAUUUGGUCCUCAUCAGAAGCCUGGGGCACUGAGCUUGCUACUUCAUUCUUCCAGUAUUUUCAAAUCAGGAAGAGUUUUCAUAGUCUUAGAACAAGAGAUUUAAAGAUUCUGAGGAGAUUGAUUGCUUCUGCUCUGGCUCCCCAAUGUUAAUUGUAAAUGCAGAGAAGAUAAUUCUUCUCCACAGAAGAAGUUUCAGCUGGACUUGCAGGCAGAUUCCCCAAGCUCCUAGGAGUGGCCCCCGUCUUGCUGCCUCACUCAAGUCUCCAGUGAGGACUGAAUAAAUCUGGAUGAAUCCCACUGGGGAGAGGAUGAGUCACCGUUAUGGCAAUUCUGAUUAAUCACUCCAUCCAGUAGAGUAACUCUUUUGUGCCUGUUGGUUCAGUGGCAUAAGGAGCCUAAAAUGGCCAAGUGGCAGUCUCAUCAUCCAAAUCAUUGGAAUCAUUGUUGUGUCUUUGAUAGAAGCAUUCCCCCAUUGGGAACUGAGACCUCCAAACCAGAAGAGCUCACAGUUGCUGGAUGGGAAACGAACAACGCUGCUGCUGUUUUUUUCAGGUGUAGUAGUCACAGCAGCUGCUCUCACUUCCACCCUUUGAUUCCCAGAUACAUUUGUUCUGACUCUCUGGGAGACAGCACCAUACAACGGUCUCUGAGUCAAAGCGUAUAGUGCAGCCUGUCAGACAGACCCCACCCUUUCAGGGUGUUGUCUCACACUUGAUACUGUAACUGAAUUUUCAGUAAGCCAUUGCACCUUUCAAUUCAGCCAGCUGUUUUGGGGUGAUGGGAUAUUGUGGUAAGAUUCCACGGGCAUGAGCCUAUUGCUACACUUCCUUUGCUGUAAAAUUAGUUCCUUGAUCAGAAACAGUUCUGUGAGGUAUGUAUCUAUCACCCGAGCACCAUGAGCCCCCACUCUGACUGGUGGCACACAGUGGUGUUCUGGGUCCUUAGGAAUUAGCAUCACUUCAGAGCCCAUGUCUAGUGAUCCCGUAGUAGUCUGGGUCUUUCCUUUUCUCCAGGGCCCAGUCACUCCAGUAAAUCACUACAGAUCGGUUCAGGGAAGUCUUAGAGAGGACUUGCUAUACUUGGGGCAGUACUGCAGAGUCCCCCUCCUUCAGCCAAGGGACUCUGGAUCUGUGGAUUGGCUUAGGACUGGAAACUUUGUGAGAGGCCAUGACUCUGCAUUGCAGUGACUCAAACCGGAUCUUGAACCAACAGAUCUAGAAGUUUUUCAGUUCUAUGGAUCAGGGAUGGCAAACUUUUUCUGAAAAGGGCCAGAAAGCAAAUAUUUUAGGCUUUGCAGACCAAACAGUCUCUGCGACAACUACUCAGCUCUCCUGUUGUGGCAGGAAGGCAGCCGCAGACGACAUGCAGAUGAAUGGGUGUGGCUGCGUUCCAAUAAAACUUCAUUUACAAAAAUAGGUGGAGGGCUGGAUUUGGCCAUGGGUCAUAGUGUUGAUUCCUGCUAAAGACCCAGCAAUAUUUUAGUAGGCUGACUGUUUAUUUUGUUAGUAUGUGAUCAAUUAAUCACCACUUGAGAUCCCCGUGGGCCAAAGCAUUCUGAUGACCUUUGUUCCUGCUGGCUCUUAUGGUAAAUGUGUCCACUUUGUCUUGGGCAGUUACGUGCUGCCUCUUGGCCUCUGUUACUCCAGGAUUUCAUCAGCCUCACUGAAAUCAGAGUAGCACCUCCCAUGGUCAUAUCUAGUCUAUAAAUGAGAGCAACCAUAGAGCUUUUAAAGGAUGCACGUACUCCUUCACUAAUUUAUUUCUCAAAAUCUUAGUGAAGGGAGGGUCUUCUGAGCCUUCUCAGGGGAUGUGGUUGGGGAUGGGUAUGCAUGUUACACAUGAUAAAUCCACAUCAACGUUCCUAUCUUCCUAAGCCUUUGGAUUCCUUCCUCCACAUCAGACCACGGAAGCUAUGGCAUCUCACUCUCAUUAAGUAGAUAACACUGUUGGGUUCAAGUGUCAGUCAGCCAAAUAAUAUGUUAGAGCCACAUCUAGCUGUACAAUUUAAAAUAUGAAAUCUGAGAUCUCUAGUAAGUGCACACGUAUAAAUUAAUUUGUCUGAUAUGGUGCUAUAUUCCUCUCUCCUUGGUCUAAGUUGCUUAGAAUCCACUCCUACACACAUUCCCCAGGUUUCUGCCAACAUAUAUUAGAAAAGUCUUGCAAUUCUUUUAGUGUAUAAGCCAUUUCCUCCUGGGUCAUACUGUGUAUCGAGUUCCUGAAAUAUACUGAGAUUUGACCCAAGUUGUAGACCUAGUGGGUCGUGAGGAGAAUCAGCAUCCCUUUCAAGGCAUCUGCCCCGGGUGAAGUUGUCACAGGGUUUUCCAGCAAAGGAAGGCUCGUCUGACCUACUUGUAUUGUCAAAGGGUGGUCACAGUGACUUGGAGAUUUGAGAUUCUCAAUUCAUUUGAAUCCUACCAGACUUCCCCAUUCCAGGUUUCAGAGUCUCAUUACUUCUCAGUCAACCUCCUAACUUUUACGUAAAACUUGUAAAAUCUGCGAAUUCAACUGCUAUUGUAUUUCAGCCACUUGCACAGUUAAGUCCUGUGUUUGAUAUUUAGCAAUACUGGCCCUGUGGUUACAAGAAAUAAGAGAUUAUAUUCGGAUGAGCACGGAAGCUCUCUGAUCCCCAGACUGUGACCCUGAGCUUAUCUUUUUCUUUCUGUAAGUGCUGCCGUGCACUCGGGGAAAUCAAUUCCACACCGCAGUCCUUGUUGUCACUGCUACCGCCAUAACAAUCCAGUGCAGCAGCCACUUGGGCCCCCAAGGCGUUUGCUUUAAUUAGCACUUCAUCCCAGUCAGCCACAGGUGAUAAUUUAAUGACCUGCAAUGUCAUUGUAUGUCAUCGAUAACUAGCAGCUGAUUUUCCAGCUUCAAGGAACUCACCACUGCCCUCAAACCCAAACACAUGACCCAACCCAUUCUCAGAUCCCAUCUUUGAGAGUUUGUCUCUUCAGGCCAGCCCCAGUCCCAAUUCUAUUAAGGUCCACUCAGGAGACAGAAACCACACCGGCAAAUUGAACCAGAAAAAUUUAAUACAAAGAAUUGUAACUUAUAAAAGGUGGUUAGCUAUCAAACCAGAAGUGGCAAGUGCAAAAAGCAGCUCCUACCUCAAGAGCUGAGGGACAGUGACUCAGGAAGCGAUUAAGAACCUGGAAGAGCUCUCCCCACCAUUCACCUCAAGGCAGACUCAUCUCUUCUUGGAGAGGCAUGCCUGCCGUAGGAGCACACUGCCUGCCGGGGCUAAGGAGACUGGCUGGAGGGCGUGGCCAGAGCGGCCUCAUUCACAUGGCCUGCUGGGUGGCGGAGAGACUUGCUGGAGGGCCAUAGCAGGCCGGAGCUGGUCUGCAAAGGCUGCUGAGAUGAGCAAUACCAGGCCCUUACAUACCACUCCACUGGCUAGCGUGCCUAAAACAGCACACUAAAAUUCAGAAGAAACUCUUGAUUCUGCAGUGGCCACGCAGCGUCCCUUCAGUGCUCUCUAUUGACAAAGCCUCUUUGUUGACACUGAGCCAGCUGGCAAAGGAGAAAUGUUUAAAGGGUCAAGCUGGGGCUAGCCCAGUGGCGCAGUGGUUAAGUUCGCAUGUUCCACUUUGGCGGCCUGGGGUUCACCGGUUUGGAUCCCAGGUGCAGACCUACUGUGUUGUGGCAGGUGUCCCAGAUAUAAAGUAUAGGAAGAUGGGCACGGAUGUUAGCUCAGGGCCAGCCUUCCUCAAAAAACAAACAAAUAAAAUAAUAAAGGGUUAAGCUCUAGUAUCACACAGCAGGGUAAAGAAGUGUGGAUUUAGUGCUGAGAGGCAAUGAAUUGAUAACUGGGGAAGGGGUAAAUAAAUUUUGUGUGUUUAACAGACAACAGGAAGGCCAGUGUAGCUGAAAGUGACUGAGUGGGACAGAGACAAUGGUGGAAAAUGAGGUCUGAGAAACAGAGAGGUAGAUGAGGUCAGAUCAUUUAAAGCUUAAUAGAUCACGGUAAAGACUUUGGAUUUUUUUUUAAGUGAAAAAAAGUAAUUUGCUUUCAAUCAAAUGAAAAUGGUAUAGAUCCUGAGCCA
ensembl:lncRNA